CCUUUUACUGGGAAAACAGUUCACACAUUACACAUCACAGCAAAACAACGCCCACCAUAAAACCCCCCAAAUGGUUCUAAGACAAGGCACUAUAUGUGUAUGUGUAAAAAUCUGUAUGCAUGUGAGAAUGUGUGUGUGUGUGGCCUCCUGCUGACCAAAAGGGUCAUAAAAGCAGGAAACAACAUCACAAGAAACAGAUCUUCCAGAUAGAAUGUAUCUGCAAUAAAACACUACAUCCCCCCCAGAACCUCGAGAGGCUGGGGAGGGGAUAAAAGAAUUCCUUUCAUCACAAUCACAGAGUUAAAACAAUGUAGAGAUGGUAAGCAUAAAAAUAACAACAUUUAACAAUUCACUUUAACAUCCUCUGUGACGUUGGUAGCCCUGCUGACACAGUGGGCAUCUAGUGAUUUUCUCAGCAGCCUGCAUACCACACCAACAUGCAGUAUAUAAGCAGGCUUUUGGUGGUUGCCUGGCAGAGGGCUACCAGAAAUUUCCUCUCUGAGCUCUGUUUCUUGGAUUUCAGGAAAUCACAGUCGUUGCUGUGGCCUCUUACAGUUGGAGUUGUAUUGGCCAACCUGGUGAGAUUUUCAUAUACGAUAGCCCCAGAAUGAUCCCAUAUUCAUGCACGGAGGGGCCAGAUUAGUGUCUGAUUUCCACCUGCUGUCUAGAACUAAUUAUUGUUUUUGUAGUGUUUAGUGUCAUGUUAUAUAAUGAGCGCGAUCCUGACAGUCUUUUUGUUUGUUUGUUUUUUGUUUUUUUUUAUCUCAUCCCGGUAUGUAGACUCACCUUCACCUGUGACGAGCUCAGUGGUGGGUGUGUUGUCAGCAAAUUUAAAUAUGGAGUGAGAGAAGUAGAUUGGUAUGCAGUCAUGAGUGUAAAAGAGUAGUGGGCUGGACUCAUGAUUUGUAUAUGUCAUAGUCCUGGUCUCAAUGUUUCUUACUUCCUGUUUUAUACUGAUUGUCCCUCAACUUCUGUGUGUUGUGUCGAGUUUUGUUUCCUCUGUCCAGUUAGAUUCUUUUCACCUGUGUCUUGUUUUCCCCAGCUGUUUGCCUUCUGUUUGUAAGUCCUCAGUUUCCCUCUUCUCUUUUUUGUUUCCCCCUUUUAGUUGUGUGCCCUUUAGUCAUGUUUUAAUGUAAAUAGUUAUUGUUUAAGAUUUUUGCUCCUGACUAGCUUAUCUUUGUAUUUUUGUUUAAGUUUAGCAAUAAAGCAUUUUUUGAUUUUUACACCUUCCAAGUCCUGCAUUUGGGUCCUACUCAGCUCAACUUGACCUCUCCUCUCCCACUAAGGACUGGCAAACCCCAAAGCUGUGAGGGGAGCUCACACAAACACAAAACAUCCCAAAACUCAGUAUGCUGGUUCAAAGACCAAGGACCACGACAUGAGGUUCUAUUUUGACUUUCUGUGGACAGCUCCUGAGAAAGUCUUUAAUCAGGCAAAUGUAAAUGGACAUGGAGAGGCCUAUGUCUUGUAGUCAGCCGAUUAGGAUGUAUGGGACUGCAGUACUGAAAG
ensembl:lncRNA